UUUUUUUGGCUCCACAUUGUUUUUCCUCUUGAAUUAUUUACAGAUGUCCAGGGCUGCGGUUGUGUCAAGUACAGGUUAUAACCAUUUUUAUGGAUGAUAUGCUGUAAAUGGAAACAAGUCUCAGAAAGCCUCUAGAGUUUCCCGUCGGUCAGGACUUUGGUCAGCUCCAGAUGGGUAAUCAAAUGGCCGGGACCUUGAGAGAGAUCAAUAUGGGGCAGAAUAUGCAGUGUCACUCUUUUAGUCAUUUGGUGUACAAAGGUAGACUGAACAGGAAGUUGACCACAAUAAUAAGAAUGUAUGCGAAAUGUCUCAAGUUUUUCCUCAAUAGAGCCAGUGAUAUUUUGUCAGAGCUGCAGUCAAUCAGUUUUCUUGCAGUAUCCAUCGAGUUUAGCACCUAAUAUACACGGUGUUCAAACUGGAAUGCUGAACACAUUUUUGGUAAGUCACAGACCAGAAAGUACACUCGUUAUCUUUCAAGAUAACAAAUAUAUAACAACGCUUCUCACUGCAAAAUAUGUCAAGAUUACAUUGCAUACAGUAAUUCACUUUUUCACAUGGGUGAUCUAAAUCAUUGUUCUGCAGAUGCCGAGCAGCAGCUGUUACUAUUAUUAGAGUUGAUUUUUUUUUCUUCAUUUGAAGUAAACAUGUUUGCUCACAACAAUUUGCUGCAUCGUGAGCAGAAAGGCCUCAUAUAAAAUAAGAAUACAAUUUAAAUUCUGUAAUACAUAACAAUUGAUUUAAGUUUUCUUCAGAAUUGUUCCCUUUUGCACUACACAAUAAUCUCACGCUCAGAGAAAAUACACAGGUGACAGUAUUCCUUUUUUUUCACACACCAGUCUGUUGAGACAAGGUAGCUUUAAAGGGCUUUCAGCCAGGGCUGGCAAACAGUGGCAUCUGUGUAUUUGAACCUACAUGGAAGUAUUGCUCUCUGCACUCAAAUGUUCACACACUUGGACUGGCAGCAGCUGUGUACCUGAACCACACACCCGGAGUAAUUGUGCUUGUUUCACCAUUCAUUAAGGGCACUGGCAUGUUACGUAACUUCUAUCUAAACAUUGUCACUGGUCCCCCAAGUGUGGCUUGCAGAAUUGAAAUAGCAUGUGGUCUAUUUUAAGGUGACAUAAACUCUCCACUGAAAUGCCAUGGCCCUGCAUACUAUCUGACUAUGACUUGCAUAUGGGUUGUAGCAAUGUUCUGAGGCUGACAACUGAGGAGGGCAAUCUGCCCAUCACCACCACAGCUGAACAGCAGCAAUGGCACUGAAUGAAUCAAUAGAAAUCUAAGAGAAGUCAUUUGAGUGGUCAUGGCAAGCAACAUACAGCCAAUGUCUUCAUUUUCACAAGGACAAGUCCUUCUUCAACAAAGCACAGUGGCGGCAUGUAACGGCGAUGAACAGUGAUUUGCUGUUUUGCCGUAGCUUUUUGGUCACAGUGAUUUACCACCAUCUUCCUCCACGCACAAGGACAUGAACUGAGCUUGACAGAAGACCAGGCAAGGUAAUAAAUGUCUGCUCUUCCACUAGUCCACAGUAAAAUCCCACAAGACCCCAUUACGGAGAAACCAUGAACCUUCUGUUGCUGUGUGUCUUAGUAAGCAGAUGGAAGGAGGAUGAAUGGGAUGGGCCUGUGCGUGUGCGUGUGUCUGUGCGUGUGUCUGUGCGUGUGUCUGUGCGUGUGCGUGUCUGUGUGUCUGUGUGUGUGCGUGUCUGUGCGUGUGUCUGUGUGUGCGUGUGUCUGUCCGUGUUCGUGUGUCUGUGUCUGUGUGUCUGCGUUUCUGCGUGUCAGUUUCUGUUGACCCAAAUGAACACUGAACACACUGACAGAACGGACUGACCAAACAUGUUCAUAACCUCCAUGGCCAGAGCUGAGUUAUGCCUCCAGCUGUUUUUCCUCAUCUGACAGUUAAAGGACAACACUUAUCAGCCAGGGUGAGUGGAAUGAGGUGCAACAGCCAAUGAGAGCAAAGCCAAGAAGCAGAAGCAGUGAAAUGACCCUACACGCUGAUGUCAUGAGGGCACGAAAGAUAAGUUGCCCCAUUCCUGUCUACUUGUCAUGUUCAACAGCCAGGCAGGCUGCUUCAAACCGACAGUUCCUGUGAAAACACACAAUGAAUUUGAACACAGCAAUGGCAGAGACACUGUUUCCUCUGUAAAGUGUUUGUAUUAACAUGAGCCCUUCCCUCACAUUAGAGUGCUCCGCCCAAGGUCCAUCUGUAGAAAUCCUCUCCCCAACUGGACAGCUGUCACAUUCCCAUCCAAGAGGGUGUGUGUGUGAUACUGCAUUUCCCGCCCCUCUCCUC
ensembl:lncRNA